rnacentral:tRNA from 1 species
GCCUAGCUGGCUCAGUCAGUAGAGCACAUGACUUUUGAUCUCAGGGUCAUGAGUUUGAGCCCCAUGUUGGGUA